rnacentral:lncRNA from 1 species
AGAUAAUUAUUACUUCCAUAUGGGGCUACAACCAAGGCCUUAAUGCUGCUACCUUCCUUUAACUGAUUGAUAAAUCUGGGAUGUGUAGAUCAUGCUAAGGCAGCUGGGGCGAACUCGCCCCUUAUCACCUACAUUCGUCGGAGAAGAAGGGUGGAUCGAUCAAGGACAAGGACGCAGUCUCCCAGUGGGAGGACUUCUCCCUACCGCUACUCCCCUACUCCCUCCGAUGCGGUUAAGUUCAUCGAUAGAAUGGCCAAAGAGGCAGGUGGUGUUCUGCGGGUUCCUUGCGGGAGUCGCCGUCGGG